rnacentral:rRNA from 1 species
UACGAAGGGGGCUAGCGUUGCUCGGAAUCACUGGGCGUAAAGGGCGCGUAGGCGGAUCUUUAAGUCGGGGGUGAAAGCCCGAGGCUCAACCUCGGGACUGCCUUCGAUACUGCGGGUCUCGAGUCCGGGAGAGGUGAGUGGAAUUCCUAGUGUAGAGGUGAAAUUCGUAGAUAUUAGGAAGAACACCUAUGGCGAAGGCAGCUCUCUGGGACGGUACUGACGCUGAGACGCGAAAGCGUGGGGAGCGAACAGG